AGGACGAACGCUGGCGGCGUGCUUAACACAUGCAAGUCGAGCGGUAAGGCCCUUUCGGGGGUACACGAGCGGCGAACGGGUGAGUAACACGUGGGUGACCUGCCCUUAGCUCUGGGAUAAGCCUGGGAAACUGGGUCUAAUACCGGAUAUGACCUCGCGAUGCAUGUCGUGGGGUGGAAAGCCUUGUGCGGCUAGGGAUGGGCCCGCGGCCUAUCAGCUUGUUGGUGGGGUGAUGGCCUACCAAGGCGACGACGGGUAGCCGGCCUGAGAGGGCGACCGGCCACACUGGGACUGAGACACGGCCCAGACUCCUACGGGAGGCAGCAGUGGGGAAUCUUGCGCAAUGGGCGAAAGCCUGACGCAGCGACGCCGCGUGAGGGAUGACGGCCUUCGGGUUGUAAACCUCUUUCAGCCCUGACGAAGCGAAAGUGACGGUAGGGCAGAGAAGCACCGGCCACUACGUGCCAGCAGCCGCGGUAA
rnacentral:rRNA from 1 species